GGUGUAGGCGGAAUAUUAAGUCAGUGGUGAAAUCCUGCGGCUCAACCGUAGAACUGCCAUUGAUACUGAUAUUCUUGAAUGUAGUUGAGGUAGGCGGAAUGUGUAAUGUAGCGGUGAAAUGCUUAGAUAUUACACAGAACACCGAUUGCGAAGGCAGCUUACUAAACUAUGAUUGACGCUGAGGCACGAAAGCGUGGGGAGCGAACAGGAUUAGAUACCCUGGUAGUC
rnacentral:rRNA from 1 species